AUUGAACGCUGGCGGAAUGCUUUACACAUGCAAGUCGAACGGCAGCACGGACUUCGGUCUGGUGGCGAGUGGCGAACGGGUGAGUAACAUAUCGGAACGUAUCCAAUAAUGGGGGAUAACGAGUCGAAAGAUUCGCUAAUACCGCAUACGCCCUACGGGGGAAAGCUGGGGACCUUCGGGCCUGGCGUUAAUGGAGCGGCCGAUAUCUGAUUAGCUAGUUGGUGAAGUAAAGGCUCACCAAGGCGACGAUCAGUAGCUGGUCUGAGAGGACGACCGGCCACACUGGAACUGUGACACGGUCCAGACUCCUACGGGAGGCAGCAGUGGGGAAUUUUGGACAAUGGGCGCAAGCCUGAUCCAGCCAUUCCGCGUGAGUGAAGAAGGCCUUCGGGUUGUAAAGCUCUUUCGCAAGGGAAGAAAACUUAGCCACUAACAUUGGUUGAGGUUGACGGUACCUUGAUAAGAAGCACCGGCUAACUACGUGCCAGCCGCCGCGGUAA
rnacentral:rRNA from 1 species